rnacentral:tRNA from 1 species
UCCCUGGAGGACUAGUGGUUAGGCCACAGUGCUCGCACCACCGUGGCCAGGGAACGAUUCCUGGCCAGGGAA